GUGGGGAAUAUUGGACAAUGGGCGAAAGCCUGAUCCAGCCAUGCCGCGUGCAGGAUGAAGGCCUUCGGGUUGUAAACUGCUUUUGUACGGAACGAAAAGACUCCUUCUAAUAAAGGGGGUCCAUGACGGUACCGUAAGAAUAAGCACCGGCUAACUACGUGCCAGCAGCCGCGGUAAUACGUAGGGUGCAAGCGUUAAUCGGCAUUACUGGGCGUUAAGCGUGCGCAGGCGGUUAUAUAAGACAGAUGUGAAAUCCCCGGGCUCAACCUGGGAACUGCAUUUGUGACUGUAUAGCUAGAGUACGGUAGAGGGGGAUGGAAUUCCGCGUGUAGCAGUGAAAUGCGUAGAUAUGCGGAGGAACACCGAUGGCGAAGGCAAUCCCCUGGACCUGUACUGACGCUCAUGCACGAAAGCGUGGGGAGCAAACAGGAUUAGAAACCCUGGUAGUCC
rnacentral:rRNA from 1 species